rnacentral:rRNA from 1 species
CUACGGGCGGCAGCAGUGGGGAAUAUUGCACAAUGGGGGAAACCCUGAUGCAGCAACGCCGCGUGGAGGAUGACGCAUUUCGGUGUGUAAACUCCUUUUAUAUAGGAAGAUAAUGACGGUACUAUAUGAAUAAGCACCGGCUAACUCCGUGCCAGCAGCCGCGGUAAUACGGAGGGUGCAAGCGUUACUCGGAAUCACUGGGCGUAAAGCGCGCGCAGGCGGCCCCUUAAGUUGGAUGUGAAAGCCUACGGCUUAACCGUAGAACUGCAUCCAAAACUGAGGGGCUAGAGUCUGGGAGGGGAAGAUGGAAUUAGUUGUGUAGGGGUAAAAUCCGUAGAGAUAACUAGGAAUACCAAAAGCGAAGGCGAUCUUCUGGAACAGUACUGACGCUGAGGCGCGAAAGCGUGGGGAGCAAACAGGAUUAGAACCCUUGUAGUC